UACGUAGGAUGCAAGCGUUGUCCGGAAUUAUUGGGCGUAAAGAGCGCGCAGGCGGUAUGACAAGUCAGAUGUGAAAGAGGCCGGCUUAACCGGCAAGGGUCAUUUGAAACUGUCAGACUAGAGUGCAGCAGAGGAUAGUGGAAUUCCCGGUGUAGUGGUGAAAUGCGUAGAUAUCGGGAGGAACACCAGUGGCGAAGGCGACUAUCUGGGCUGCAACUGACGCUGAGGCGCGAGGGCUAGGGUAGCAAACAGG
rnacentral:rRNA from 1 species